rnacentral:rRNA from 1 species
UACGUAGGGGGCAAGCGUUGUCCGGAAUCAUUGGGCGUAAAGCGCGCGUAGGCGGCCCGGUAAGUCCGCUGUAAAAGUCCAGGGCUCAACCCUGGAAGGCCGGUGGAUACUGUCGGGCUAGAGUCCGGAAGAGGCGAGUGGAAUUCCUGGUGUAGCGGUGGAAUGCGCAGAUAUCAGGAGGAACACCGAUGGCGAAGGCAGCUCGCUGGGACGGUACUGACGCUGAGGCGCGAAAGCGUGGGGAGCGAACAGG